UGCUCAGGACGAACGCUGGCGGCGUGCCUAAUACAUGCAAGUCGAGCGAACAGAGAAGGAGCUUGCUCCUUUGACGUUAGCGGCGGACGGGUGAGUAACACGUGGGCAACCUACCCUAUAGUUUGGGAUAACUCCGGGAAACCGGGGCUAAUACCGAAUAAUCUAUGUCACCUCAUGGUGACAUACUGAAAGACGGUCUCGGCUGUCGCUAUAGGAUGGGCCCGCGGCGCAUUAGCUAGUUGGUGAGGUAACGGCUCACCAAGGCGACGAUGCGUAGCCGACCUGAGAGGGUGAUCGGCCACACUGGGACUGAGACACGGCCCAGACUCCUACGGGAGGCAGCAGUAGGGAAUCUUCCACAAUGGGCGAAAGCCUGAUGGAGCAACGCCGCGUGAGUGAAGAAGGUUUUCGGAUCGUAAAACUCUGUUGUAAGGGAAGAACAAGUACAGUAGUAACUGGCUGUACCUUGACGGUACCUUAUUAGAAAGCCACGGCUAACUACGUGCCAGCAGCCGCGGUAAUACGUAGGUGGCAAGCGUUGUCCGGAAUUAUUGGGCGUAAAGCGCGCGCAGGCGGUCCUUUAAGUCUGAUGUGAAAGCCCACGGCUCAACCGUGGAGGGUCAUUGGAAACUGGGGGACUUGAGUGCAGAAGAGGAAAGUGGAAUUCCAAGUGUAGCGGUGAAAUGC
rnacentral:rRNA from 1 species